AGUGAACGCUGGCGGUAGGCCUAACACAUGCAAGUCGAACGGCAGCACAGUAAGAGCUUGCUCUUACGGGUGGCGAGUGGCGGACGGGUGAGGAAUACAUCGGAAUCUACUUUUUCGUGGGGGAUGACGUAGGGAAACUUACGCUAAUACCGCAUACGACCUACGGGUGAAAGCAGGGGAUCUUCGGACCUUGCGCGAUUGAAUGAGCCGAUGUCGGAUUAGCUAGUUGGCGGGGUAAAGGCCCACCAAGGCGACGAUCCGUAGCUGGUCUGAGAGGAUGAUCAGCCACACUGGAACUGAGACACGGUCCAGACUCCUACGGGAGGCAGCAGUGGGGAAUAUUGGACAAUGGGCGCAAGCCUGAUCCAGCCAUACCGCGUGGGUGAAGAAGGCCUUCGGGUUGUAAAGCCCUUUUGUUGGGAAAGAAAAGCAGCAGGUUAAUACCCCGCUGUUCUGACGGUACCCAAAGAAUAAGCACCGGCGAACUUCGG
rnacentral:rRNA from 1 species